rnacentral:rRNA from 1 species
CCUACGGGAGGCAGCAGUGAGGAAUAUUGGUCAAUGGGCGCGAGCCUGAACCAGCCAAGUAGCGUGAAGGAUGACUGCCCUACGGGUUGUAAACUUCUUUUAUAAAGGAAUAAAGUGAGGCACGUGUGCCUUUUUGUAUGUACUUUAUGAAUAAGGAUCGGCUAACUACGUGCCAGCAGCCGCGGUAAUACGUAGGUGGCAAGCGUUGUCCGGAUUUACUGGGUGUAAAGGGCGUGUAGCCGGGCUGACAAGUCAGAUGUGAAAUUCCGGGGCUCAACCCCGGACCUGCAUUUGAAACUGUUGGUCUUGAGUACAGUUGAGGUAGGCGGAAUUCGUGGUGUAGCGGUGAAAUGCUUAGAUAUCACGAAGAACUCCGAUUGCGAAGGCAGCUUACUAAACUGCCACUGACAUUGAUGCUCGAAAGUGUGGGUAUCAAACAGGAUUAGAUACCCCUGUAGUC